AAAACUUUCAACAACGGAUCUCUUGGUUCUGGCAUCGAUGAAGAACGCAGCGAAAUGCGAUAAGUAAUGUGAAUUGCAGAAUUCAGUGAAUCAUCGAAUCUUUGAACGCACAUUGCGCCCUCUGGUAUUCCGGAGGGCAUGCCUGUCCGAGCGUCAUU
rnacentral:rRNA from 1 species